CAUCUUCCAUCUAACUUGUCAAUGUUUAACCAUUUUUGUCACGUCCUUUUCUCUAACCAAUAAGAAGUCGACAACCACCCAAGAAACCUUCCUUUUAACUCCCAAACAGAAGUAUUCAACCUGCACUAUAUUACCCAAGAGAUAUAUACUCCUCCCCAUAUUACUCUUCUUUCUUUCCUUUCUUCUUUUAUGAACACCAACACACACACUUCGGCAGAGAGAAAGAGAGAAUUGUAGAGAGAGAGAGAAGAACAGCCAGCUGGGUACCACCCUCUUACCGCCGCCAUCACCCCUCUCGGCCUCCACCAUUUCCACCGAUUACAAAGUUCACCACCGAAACCCAUCACCACCGUACCUCCUCCUGCCCUCCCGACGCCACCAGCCUGUCCACCCUCGGCCUCACCACCGGAACUCAUCAUCACCAACCGGAGCUCACCUCAACAGCCAAGUUCCGUCGCCUCUCCGAACCGCCACCGAAUCACUCCGAAACCCGUUUUGCCGAACGAGAGGUAUUGAAGACGGAACAGAAGGGGCGUAAGCAAAGAAUGAUUUGACGUUGACCGAAGAAGAUAUUAUCGAACUUUGGUUACACCCUUAGUUGCUCUGUAAUUUCUAUUUAACUAUUUUAAUACUCCAUUGUACAGUAAGAGAAUCUGACAAAAUACUUUAAGGUCGAUACGUUGCGAUUUGAUUGGAAUUGACAGAACUUUUGGGAUUUUAAUGCUUCAAAGUUUAUUUGGAAAUUAUAAUAGUUGAUUUAUUCGAAACGGUUGUAAUAUAAUGACAUAUGCUUUUGAAAUGGUGAUAAAGUAAACUUAUGAAUUUCUUUUGUGA